CCUACGGGAGGCUGCAGUGGGGAAUAUUGCACAAUGGGCGAAAGCCUGAUGCAGCAACGCCGCGUGAACGAAGAAGGCUCUUGGGUCGUAAAGUUCUGUUCUGAGGGAAGAAGAAAGUGACGGUACCUCAGGAGAAAGCCCCGGCUAACUACGUGCCAGCAGCCGCGGUAAUACGUAGGGGGCGAGCGUUGUCCGGAAUUAUUGGGCGUAAAGAGUACGUAGGCGGUUUGUUAAGCGCAAGGUGAAAGGCAUAUGCACCACCAAUGUAGGCCUUGCGAACUGACAGACUUGAGUGAAGGAGAGGAAAGCGGAAUUCCUAGUGUAGCGGUGAAAUGCGUAGAUAUUAGGAGGAACACCGGUGGCGAAGGCGGCUU
rnacentral:rRNA from 1 species